GUAGAAAAAUGGGGGAAGGCAAAAAACAAAAAACAAACGAAAAAAACAGAAAACAACCAAAAAAAAACAAAAACAACAAAACAACAACAAAAGUAAACUGACAUCUAAAGGUAAAUUGGUUGCCUGAUCAGAUCUUUCUUUAUUCAGUCAUUGAUUUGACAAAAAUAUUUCUGAGACCUUUUCAUCUGCCAGGUGUUGUGUUGGAAGCUGAUGUGAUGAAUAACAUGGUCUCUGCCUUCAUGAUGCGUAGACUCUAGUUUGAAAGAGAGAAAUAAAACAGCACUGGGACAACUAACAAAUUCAUGACAAUGACUUCCUGGCAUUCAAGAAAAGCUCUAUCAUUAUACUAGCUGGAUAGAAACUUAAGGAACAAAUGCCUCAGAGUCUAAAUUCCAGUGAAAAACAAGCUAAAACAUCAAAAUGCCCAGGUUUCAACAUGAGAUUACAAAAUGUACAAAGAAACACCAAGUGAAGACCCAGGCAAAAAAGAUUAAAGCAUUAGAAACCAUCAAUGAGGAGGAUCAGAUCUGGGAAAUACCAGACAAAAACUUUUAAAAAAAUAAUCCUAAGUAUGCUCAAAGGCUAAAGGAAAACAUGGACAAAGAACUAAAGGAAAACAAACAAUAUCAAUAGAUGGAAAUUAUGAAAAGGAACCAAGCAGAGCUGAAGACCACAGCAAUUAAAAAUUCCCUAGAGGGGCCAACAGCAUAAAAUAGAAGCAGCAAACUUGGAGAUGACAAUUGAAAUCAUCCAGUAGAGGAGCAGAAGGAAAAAGAAGGAAGAAAAGUGAACAGAGCCUGAGGAACCUGUGGGGACACCACAAAGCAUGUCAACGUAUGCAUUGUGGGAGUCUCAUAAGGAGAAAAGAGAAGAGGGCAGAGAGAAUAUUCAAAGACAUACUGGCAGAAAAUUUCCCAAAUUUAAUGACAGACAUGAAUAUACACAUCCAAGAUGUUCAAUGAACUCCAAACAAGAUAAACCCCAGGAGACCCACACUGUACCAUGUCAUAAUCAAACUUUCUAAUGCCAUUGAUAAAGAGAGAAGUCUGAAAGGCACAAGACAGAAGCAACACAUCACAUACAAAGGAGCCUCAAUAAGAUUAAAUGCCGAUUUCUCAUCAGAAACCAUGGAGGCAAGAAGGGAGUGGGAAGAUAUUUAAAGUGCUAAAAGUAAACAAAAUUGCCAACCAAGAAUCCUAUAUCCAGCAAAACUGUCUUUCAAAAUGAGGGGAGAAUUAAGACAUUUCCGGAUAAACAAAAGCUGAGGGUCUUUGUCACUUCUAGUCUGGCCCUACAGGAAAUGCAGGAUGAAGGAAAGGACACUAGACAACUGAAUGAAGCAACAUGAAGAAAUAAAGAUCUCUGGUAAAGAUAAUGAUGGAGGGUCUCAGAGAGAGAAGGCCAGAGAGGGAGCAGCCAGAAGCUGAACAUCAGUGGAACCUGGAAGAGAAGGAAGAGGCCAGGAGAUAUUGCCAUGUGCAUUUGCUAUGUGACUGGGGGCCCACAACCAAGGAUCACUGGCAGCCAGCCCCAGAACACCAGUCUUUGGGAAGAAAGCAUUGCCUUGAAAAUGCCUUGCUUUGAACUUCUCUUAACCUCAAAACCAAUGAAUUCCCAUUGUUUAAGCCAACCCACUGCAUAUUUGCUUUAGCAACAAGGAAACUAAAACAGAGAAUGAUAUGGCAAAGGUGAGAGGGUGUUGGAAUUGGUGGAUCUGGGUAUUUGGG